rnacentral:rRNA from 1 species
GCGCAAUGAANGUGAAGGCACGGCCNCCGUGCUGAGGUGAGANCCGUCCCCGACGGCACAUCAUCGACCGAUCCCAUCCGCUCCCUCGUGGUGCGGCGGGAUUCGAGUAAGAGUGUACCUGUUGCGACCCGAAAGAUGGUGAACUAUGCCUGAAUAGGGUGAAGCCAGAGGAAACUCUGGUGGAGGCCCGUAGCGAUUCUGACGUGCAAAUCGAUCGUCAAAUUUGGGUAUAGGGGCGAAAGACUAAUCGAACCAUCUAGUAGCUGGUUCCCUCCGAAGUUUCCCUCAGGAUAGCUGUAGCCCGAAGCAGUUUUAUCAGGUAAAGCGAAUGAUUAGAGGUAUCGGGGAAGAAACUUCCUCGACCUAUUCUCAAACUUUAAAUAGGUAAGAAGUCCGACUUGCUCAAUUUGAAGCCGGACACAGAAUGCUGGGUUACUAGUGGGCCAUUUUUGGUAAGCAGAACUGGCGAUGCGGGAUGAACCGAACGCCGAGUUAAGGUGCCAAAGUCGACGCUCAUCAGAUCCCACAAA